GCCAGCACCAGAAGAAGAAGAAGAUGGAGAAAAAGAAAAUACGAAAAAAUGUGUCGCGUGAUGAAAAGUGGGAGAAGCUCGACGACUCUCAAAUCUUAAAUGUGGUGGCGGGUGCUCAAUCGGGCGCGGAGUCUUGAGCCCAAAGCCCAUCUAACGCCACCACGACACCAACAACGAGCACAGCAGUAGCAGGGGAGCCGCACAAAAAGUGCACGGAAUGGGCGUGGCCAUGAUGGGGGGCCUUCCACGAUGGGUGGGCAGCUGGCUUGAUGCCAACGAAGGAGGUGUGUCUCC
ensembl:ncRNA T02E9.15 ncRNA